UCAAUUCUAAUUUAAACAAAAUAUGAAUCUGUGGCAUUCAAAAUAGGCCUUGCCUGAAUUGAU
rnacentral:tRNA from 1 species